rnacentral:rRNA from 1 species
UACGUAGGGUGCGAGCGUUGUCCGGAAUUAUUGGGCGUAAAGAGCUUGUAGGCGGUUUGUCGCGUCUGCUGUGAAAAUCCGGGGCUCAACCCCGGACUUGCAGUGGGUACGGGCAGGCUAGAGUGUGGUAGGGGAGACUGGAAUUCCUGGUGUAGCGGUGAAAUGCGCAGAUAUCAGGAGGAACACCGAUGGCGAAGGCAGGUCUCUGGGCCACUAUUGACGCUGAGAAGCGAAAGCAUGGGGAGCGAACAGG